rnacentral:rRNA from 1 species
UGUAGCCAACCUCCCUCAAUGUGCCCAAUCUUGUCUGAUUUCAGAAACUAAGCAGGGUCGGGCCUGGCUAGUACUUGGAUGGGAGAAUAAGUGAAUGAAUGGGAGCGGUUAUAA